rnacentral:rRNA from 1 species
UACGUAGGUGGCGAGCGUUGUCCGGAUUUACUGGGCGUAAAGGGAGCGUAGGCGGACUUUUAAGUGAGAUGUGAAAUACCCGGGCUCAACUUGGGUGCUGCAUUUCAAACUGGAAGUCUAGAGUGCAGGAGAGGAGAAUGGAAUUCCUAGUGUAGCGGUGAAAUGCGUAGAUAUCGUAAGGAAGACCAGUGGCGAAGGCGAGUCUCUGGACAGUUACCGACGCUGAGGCACGAAGGUCAGGGGAGCAAACGGG